UACAUGGGGUGCAAACAUUGCUCGGAAUUAUUGGGCGUAAAGCGCACGUAGGCGGUUCGUUAAGUCGGAUGUGAAAGCCCUCGGCUCAACUGAGGAAGUGCACCCGAAACUGGCGAGCUUGAGUACGAAAGAGGAUCGCGGAAUUCCCGGUGUAGAGGUGAAAUUCGUAGAUAUCGGGAGGAACACCGGUGGCGAAGGCGGCGAUCUGGGUCGAUACUGACGCUGAGGUGCGAAAGCGUGGGGAGCAAACAGGG
rnacentral:rRNA from 1 species